rnacentral:rRNA from 1 species
UAAUUGAAGAGUUUGAUCAUGGCUCAGAUUGAACGCUGGCGGCAGGCCUAACACAUGCAAGUCGAACGGUAACAGGGAGCAGCUUGCUGCUCUGCUGACGAGUGGCGGACGGGUGAGUAAUGUCUGGGAAACUGCCUGAUGGAGGGGGAUAACUACUGGAAACGGUAGCUAAUACCGCAUAACGUCUACGGACCAAAGUGGGGGACCUUCGGGCCUCAUGCCAUCAGAUGUGCCCAGAUGGGAUUAGCUAGUAGGUGGGGUAACGGCUCACCUAGGCGACGAUCCCUAGCUGGUCUGAGAGGAUGACCAGCCACACUGGAACUGAGACACGGUCCAGACUCCUACGGGAGGCAGCAGUGGGGAAUAUUGCACAAUGGGCGCAAGCCUGAUGCAGCCAUGCCGCGUGUAUGAAGAAGGCCUUCGGGUUGUAAAGUACUUUCAGCGGGGAGGAAGGCGUUGUGGUUAAUAACC